rnacentral:ncRNA from 1 species
UACCUGGUUGAUCCUGCCAGUAGUCAUAUGCUUGUCUCAAAGAUUAAGCCAUGCAAGUCUAAGUACGAGCUCUCGUACAGUGAAACUGCGAAUGGCUCAUUAAAUCAGUUAUGGUUCAUUUGAUCGUACAGUUUACUUGGAUAACUGUGGUAAUUCUAGAGCUAAUACAUGCGAGAAGCGCCGACCUCGCGGGAGGCGUGCAUUUAUCAGACCAAAAACCGGCCGCGUCUUCGGGCGCGUUCGCCUUGGUGACUCUGGAUAACUUUGCGGAUCGCACGGUCUAGCACCGGCGACGGAUCAUUCAAGUGUCUGCCCUAUCAACUUUCGUCGGUCCGGUAUUUGCCUACCGAGGUUCUUACGGGUGACGGGGAAUCAGGGUUCGAUUCCGGAGAGGGAGCCUGAGAAACGGCUACCACAUCCAAGGAAGGCAGCAGGCGCGCAAAUUACCCAUUCCCGACGCGGGGAGGUAGUGACCAAAAAUAAC